GACGGAGGGUGCUAGCGUUGUUCGGAAUCACUGGGCGUAAAGGGCGCGUAGGCGGCUUUUGAUGUCGGAUGUGAAAGCCCGGGGCUCAACCCCGGAGGUGCAUCCGAAACUCAGAGGCUGGAGGCCGGAAGAGGAGGGUGGAAUACCCAGUGUAGAGGUGAAAUUCGUAGAUAUUGGGUGGAACACCGGUGGCGAAAGCGGCUCUCUGGUCCGGUCCUGACGCUGAGGCGCGAAAGCGUGGGGAGCAAACAGG
rnacentral:rRNA from 1 species